GGCUGCAAUCGACUCAUUACCAACUCUGACAAUAUGAAAAUCAUUGACACAAUGAAUAAUGAAGGACAUUCUGUAGGAGUGGCGGCUGCAAUCUUUGAGGAUUGUUUGUUUAUGGCAUGUGAUUUCCCUCUCACUAGUUUUGAACAUUGUAAUAGGGAAGCAAACAAAGUAGCUUAUGAGCUUGCUAGACUAGCAAAAUGUUCCAUGACAAAGGAUUAGAUAGAGGAGCCUAUGAAAAAUUUUGUAUCUUUACUUGUAGACGAUGUAACUAUUAUUUCUAAUUAA
rnacentral:rRNA from 1 species